CCCUCUGCAUCUUACAUACACUCCUAGCUUCUCCCUUCUCAUGCAUGCAUGCCAGCUCAUGCCUGCAAUUCCAGCGCUCUGAGAGACUGACAUGUAUGCAGGCA